GUGGGCGUGGUGAAAUUGGUAGACACGCUAGUCUUAGGUGCUAGUGAUUACUCGUGCGGGUUCAAGUCCCGCCGCCCAUA
rnacentral:tRNA from 1 species